UGUCAUCUAUAUGAUUUCACAGUUUGUGCUGAAAUAUCCUAUUUGAGGAUUUUGUUCUGUUUCUCGGCAUAUAAUUCUCCAAAUUUACUCGUCAUACAUCUGCAGGUUACCCCUGUAAAGAUGGUGAAUGGAGCUACUUCUAACAUUGCCCCUGUAAAAAUGUGAAACUAAAACAUUUCAUUUGCAUGCAGCUUUUCUCUAGUCCAACUUUGCUUUUAUUUAUUUUUUUAUUUUAAUAUUCUAAAACGAUUUACAUACUUUGCUUCUUGAAGCUACAUGCUCCACUCAUUUUUUUGCCACCGUGGUCUUUGUAUUUUUGUAUUUUUGUCUUUUCCAUUGAACUUUUUUCUUACAAAAGCAUAAUAUAACUUAAUAGAUAGGGAAACUUUUCAAUAUUGUUCUGUUCUUCUCUUUAUCUGAAGCCAAGGAUCAAUUUCAUUUGAAAAAAAUCAAAUGGAGUUGUCAAUGUAAAAAUAUAUUCAGUGCGUGUAGGGAGUAAGCUGCCUGUUUAAAAUCGUUAUUUCCUAAUUAAGCUAUUGGGACAAUAUUCUACUGGUAUAGUAUUGAGUUGGUAUAAAUUGUUGAAAAAUUUUGGUUUUGGAUUUAUCAAAUCUUUGAUAGAAACUUGAGACAAUUUUUUAGCUGUAAUUAUUGUGUUUACUUUAAGGAGUUGUCUAAGGUGACUGUUGUAACUCAAUUGGUCAAAACUAGUAAAUCCAUGAGAUGUUACCUGAAAGGGACAAUAAUAUCAUGUAAAACGUCAUAAAUGUUGAUGCACCUGAAUUUCAUGGUUCAGAAGUUAACCGCUUUACUGGCCAAGAAACAUUUGGUGACCCAAGGAAACAAUGGAAAAUCUCAAUGAAAUUUUUUAAGAUACCAUAUAAUAUGUUUAUGAUGCAAGUUUUAAGUAUGAAAAUGCAAGAGAAUUAACAGUGUCAAUGGUCGUUGAAAAUACAUAUAUAAAUAGUGAGAAAAGUAACUUUUUUUUGUCUGAGGUAGAUUCAUAUAUAGUAAGUAUAGAUCAUUAUGAAAAUAUAUAUACAUAUAUAUAAAGUGUAGACUUUUGUAAUUAAAGAACUUGUAUGUAUGACAUGAUUUUUAUUUCCUUUCUUGAUCUUUAAAUGAUUUAGAGGAAUAGGAAGAGGAGCUUGUGUUGAUGCUUGCUCAGUAAUUUUGAAGAGAAUUUGAUGAUUUCAGUAUGUGCAACUCGUAUUCUGGAGAAACUUGUGAACCAAUCCUUCGAAGCCUGCAGACCCUGAAAUCUGAUAUGCUAGCUCCACCAUGUAACCAGCAGGCAAACCAAGAUGCUAUGCAGGUAGUUUUAGUCCUUUUCUUGAUGUUAUGCAGGUUUUAUUCAUGUCUAGUUAAUGAUUUUGAAAUACAUGAAGCAUGGUUUAGACAAUUGUUGUCAUUGUCUAAUAUUUUUUUGGUACGAGCCAUUAGAUGUGAAUGCUAAAUCAUUAUGAGUUGUAGGUUUAACUAACAACAUGGCUUGCAGAGGUGAACAUAGAUACUGAUAGGUAGGAAUAAGUUUAGGAACUUUCAUUUUUGUUUUCUGUUCGUUUGAAGACUUCAUAUUUGUAGUAUAUUCAUCCUUUCUAUAUCUUAAAUUGCAAAAACAAAACAUCAACAUUUUUUUCCUUCAAGAAAAAAAGAAUCUUGAAAUACAAACCAUGCGACCAAAGGUAGUAAAAUUGCUUGUCAUCAGUUACUUUAUCUGUGCUCAUAAAAUUGUUUUAGAAAUGUAUUUUAAAAAUUAUACCACUGGUGCACCCUUAUAAAAUAAGGUCAGUUUCUGCAAAGUGUCAUAGUUUCUUAUAAUUUACAAGGAUGGAUGAAAUAUUUGCUGUAAUCUGGGAGGAAAUGCAUGUAACGCUCUUAUAAUAAGCUGCUUUGAUAGUAUUAAAAUAGCUAUAAAACAAAUGGGUUUGACGCUUUGAAGGAUGAAGUUCACUAGUGCAUUUUGAGAUUGAACUUUGUCAUUUGUGUAGAAAUGAGACAGCAAGUUGUAAUGUUAAUUUGGAAGUACAAUUUUUGUGAUCUAUUUAUAUGGUUGAGGGCAUUUGGUGGAAAUAAUGGUGCAAGGGAUUUCAAAUAUUUAUGUGGUGCUCCAUCAUUAUAAUGCUGGGGAAAAAAAAAAGUAAUUAAGAUUAUCUCUUAAACUGAUAGCCUGCAUUGCAAUGUGUUCAGAUGGCAAACUAAUAAAUGUUAAGCAGAAAAAAGGAAAGCAUCAUUAUAGAAAAUGGGCUAAACCGUAUAUGGAUAGUCAUUGAGGGCAUAUUCAUAAUUCUUAAGAAUAUACUUUGGUGAUUGUAUUUGUCGGUUGGUGAUGACUGGACACAGGUCUUGAUUGUAAAGUUGAGCAAAGCAAAUUGAGGAAUCAGGUACUUUCCAUUCCCAACACCUUUGGGAGAUGCUUUCGAUUUUAUACUUA